GGACAAAAAAAAAAGUUGAAGCUUGGAAACAGAUCCUGGCCUGAGAGUUUAAUCAACAAAGUUACUGGAACAUGUGACAAACACCAUGAAGAUGGUGGUCUCCAGGGUGAAGGCACCAACUGGCCCAACGCUGUGAACAACCGUUUAAUCCAUUCAACUUUCAGAGAAGAUGACUGGUUUUGUCAUGAGAGCAGCAGAGCCAUGCUAAGUAUCCACAAUUACAGCUACCAUCUUCACCUAUUGCCAUGAAAUGCAUCAAUGCAGGGUUCUAGAAGCAUAAUCAGUAUUUUGGGGACGAGGAAGAUGAUGAGGAGGCGGAGGUUGAAGAUAGCGCACACCAGGCAAGCGGAGAAACCGUUCUCCCCAACAGCCAGGAACUGUUUAUCACCCCGGAGACAGUACCGUCCCAACCCAGGCUCCCGGACCUUGAAGGCAGAGAAGGCACCUCUGGAGAGUGAUAUCAUUCAUGGUCACCUGGUUGAAAUAGGGGAAUUUUAUUCAGAGGACAUCAGAGGUGCCCGUUCCUGCUGGGAUGUUUGCCUGUGGCUGAAAAGAAAUCAUCCCCCCUGUUAGCUACACAGAUCUGGAAGCAAUCAUCCCAGAGAAUUGGCUGCAAAUGUUUCAACGCUGUGACUAGCAUCUCCAUCCCAGAGGCUAGCGCAGAUGAGAAGGUGAAAAAAUCACAUUCUCGUUUAAAUGUUCUCUGAGCUCAUGCAGUCCACCCAAACUGAACGCAUGGAGGCAGACAAUGGCAGAGUCCAGGAAAGCA